GAGUUUGAUCGUGGCUCAGAUUGAACGCUGGCGGCAUGCCUUACACAUGCAAGUCGAACGGCAGCACGGGAGCUUGCUCCUGGUGGCGAGUGGCGAACGGGUGAGUAAUGCAUCGGAACGUAUCCUGGAGUGGGGGAUAACGUAGCGAAAGUUACGCUAAUACCGCAUAUUCUGUGAGCAGGAAAGCGGGGGACCUUCGGGCCUCGCGCUCUUGGAGCGGCCGAUGUCGGAUUAGCUAGUUGGUGAGGUAAAGGCUCACCAAGGCGACGGUCCGUAGCAGGUCUGAGAGGAUGAUCUGCCACACUGGAACUGAGACACGGUCCAGACUCCUACGGGAGGCAGCAGUGGGGAAUUUUGGACAAUGGGGGCAACCCUGAUCCAGCCAUGCCGCGUGAGUGAAGAAGGCC
rnacentral:rRNA from 1 species